GACGGGGCCCGGCACAAGCGGUGGAGCAUGUGGUUUAAUUCGAUGAUACGCGAGGAACCUUACCUGGGCUCAAAUGUAUGUUGACGUAUUCUGAAAGGGAUACUUCUUCGGACAAUAUACAAGGUGCUGCAUGGUUGUCGUCAGCUCGUGCCGUGAGGUGUCGGGUUAAGUCCCAUAACGAGCGCAACCCCUACCUUUAGUUGCCAUCAGGUUAAGCUGGGGACUCUAAAGGAACUGCCUACGCAAGUAGUGAGGAAGGCGGGGAUGACGUCAAAUCAGCACGGCCCUUACGUCCAGGGCUACACACGUGCUACAAUGGCCGAUACAGAGGGCAGCUACCUGGUGACAGGAUGCAAAUCUCCAAAGUCGGUCUCAGUUCGGAUCGGAGUCUGCAACCCGACUCCGUGAAGUUGGAUUCGCUAGUAAUCGCGCAUCAGCCAUGGCGCGGUGAAUACGUUCCCGGGCCUU
rnacentral:rRNA from 1 species